GUCCAGCAAUGGCUCCUGUCAUGAUAGCAUGGUGCUGAUAAUGCCAAGGUUGCAGGUUCGAUCCCUGUUUGAGACA